AGCGAACGUUAGCGGCAGGCCUAACACAUGCAAGUCGCACGAGAAUUCGGUUUCGGCCGAUAGUAAAGUGGCGGACGGGUGCGUAACACGUGGGUAAUCUGCCCUUCGGCGGGGGACGAACAGUCCGAAAGGAUUGCUAAUACCGCAUACGUCAGCGAGCUCUUCGGAGAUCGUUGGGAAAGGUGGCCUCUUCAUGAAAGCUACCACCGAAGGAUGAGCCCGCGUCCCAUCAGCAGUUGGCGGGGUAAUAGCCCACCAAGGCAUAGACGGGUAGCUGGUCUGAGAGGAUGACCAGCCACACUGGGACUGAGACACGGCCCAGACUCCUACGGGAGGCAGCAGUGGGGAAUAUUGGGCAAUGGGCGCAAGCCUGACCCAGCCAUGCCGCGUGAGUGAUGAAGGCCUUCGGUCGUAAGACUC
rnacentral:rRNA from 1 species